ACUAACUUGAGGCGGCUGAAGUUAGGCAACCUCGAUGCUCUUAGCAUCUUUGGAGAGAAAGGAGCAUUUUCAGAUGCGUCUCAGACACUGCCAUGGGUUUAGAGCAGGCUAAUCAAAGGUUUGCAUUAACUGCAAUGCAAGAGGAAGUGGCAAUAUACAACCUGAGGCCCAUUCUGUGGAAUCAGAAGACGGUGAAAGACUGCAGGAGCAGCAUGCCUUGAAUUUGAAUUAGCC